rnacentral:rRNA from 1 species
AUGGCGUUGUGUGUUGUGACUGACUGGCAGAGGCCAAUGAUGAUGGAGGGCGGAAUUAAGAAAGAGUCGCUGAAAUCUAUGGCGAGAUCAGAUCAGAUCGGAUGCGUCGCAGCAGCAGCAGCGGCAAGGGUUCAGGGCGGUGGACGGAUCCAAUCCCACCGAUCUUUCCAGAAAUGGGCUCUGCUCACCCCGGAAAGGAACCUGACGGGGCGCAGAGGCGGAGCCACCCCCUGUAUAGGAUUCAGAGCCAGCCAUGCCCCUGCUGAGCGGAGCUCGACGUCUGCAUCUUUUAAUGGGCAUGGCAGCGGCAGCGGCAGCAGCGGCUGA